rnacentral:rRNA from 1 species
GAGAAUGAUGACAUGAGUAGCGACAAAGAGUGUGAGAGACACUCUCGCCGAAAGUCCAAGGGUUCCUGCUUAAAGCUAAUCUGAGCAGGGUGAGUCGGCCCCUAAGACGAGGCAGAAAUGCGUAGUCGAUGGGAACCAGGUCAAUAUUCCUGGGCCGGGAGGUGGUGACGGAUUGCGAAGGUUGUUCAUCCUUAUCGGAUUGGAUGGGCCGCUUAGCAGUUCCUGGAAAUAGCCCCUCUUUAAGACCGUACCCUAAACCGACACAGGUGGACUGGUAGAGAAUACCAAGGCGCUUGAGAGAACGAUGUUGAAGGAACUCGGCAAAAUACCUCCGUAAGUUCGCGAGAAGGAGGCCCGGUACAAGAGUGCCGGGGGCACAAACCAGGGGGUGGCGACUGUUUAUUAAAAACACAGGGCUCUGCGAAGUCGCAAGACGACGU